CAUCUCCGAGCCCCGCUCUCACAACUGAGAACUCAACCCACGAAAUUGCGAUUGCAGACCAACUUCGUCCCUUCCAAGACUGACGGCAGAUGAGGGGCUUCAACCAAAAAUCUGAGAGGCCUGCGUGCCCCUAAAGGCUUCAUGCCGUCAGUGGGCAGGACGAGAAGCUCUGGGCAGCCCCCUCCCCCGCCCACUCCGCUCCUGUGCCCCCCUUACCCCAGGAGAAACUGACAAGCCUGCUGAAGGUCAGACCCAAUCACACGCCUCGCGGGCGGCCCCGAGCCCGCCCCCCUCUCCUUUGCCCAAGAAUCAGGUCUCCUGGCUAGCCCAGCCCACCAACCACCCCCCAUCUCCCCAUUCCACUCCUCCCUCCUCUCCUACCCAAAUCCCCGAGAAGAAAUGGGAGGGCGUUAUGGGGGACGCGUGCUUGGCUCCAGCACUUUGGGAAUGAAAGGAAUUGCAGGAGAGACCCGGAGUCCACAGAGUUUUCAAGGAGCUUCUGUAUUCAAUAAAAACAGCUACUUGUCUACUUG